rnacentral:rRNA from 1 species
CAGUCGCCGCGGUAAUACAGAGGGUGCGAGCGUUAAUCGGAUUUACUGGGCGUAAAGCGUGCGUAGGCGGCUUCUUAAGUUGGAUGUGAAAUCCCUGAGCUUAACUUAGGAAUUGCAUUCGAUACUGGGAAGCUAGAGUAUGGGAGAGGAUGGUAGAAUUCCAGGUGUAGCGGUGAAAUGCGUAGAGAUCUGGAGGAAUACCGAUGGCGAAGGCAGCCAUCUGGCCUAAUACUGACGCUGAGGUACGAAAGCAUGGGGAGCAAACAGGAUUAGAUACCCGCGUAGUCCCUGUCUCUUAUAA